GAUUAAUUGUAAAGGGCUUUUGGUGGAUGCCUAGGCAUUAAGAGGCGAUGAAGGAUGCGGAAGACUGCAAUAAGCUUCGGGGAGCUGUCAAUCGAGCGAUAAUCCGAAGAUAUCCGAAUGGGGCAACCCACCUUGGCAAACCCAAGGUAUCCAUAUCUGAAUACAUAGGGUAUGGAGGCGAACGGUCUGAACUGAAACAUCUAAGUAGGACUAGGAAGAGAAAACAACGUGAUUCCCUAAGUAGUGGUGAGCGAAAGGGGAAAAGCCUAAACCUAUAACAUGUGAUAACCUGUGCGUGUUGUGUUAUAGGGGUAGUGGGAUGUAAAUGUCUAAAGAGUACAGUCUUUAGCAUAGAGCUAUCUAGCUUAGCUGAAUUGUUCUGGAAAGGACAGCCACAGAAAGUGACAGCCUUGUAAGCGAAAAGUAGAUAAGCAUAUGAAUUUAUAUUCCCGAGUACCGUAGAGCACGUGAAAUUCUGCGGGAAUCUGUCCAGACCAUCGGAUAAGGCUAAAUACUACUUAAUGACCGAUAGUGAACUAGUACCGUGAGGGAAAGGUGAAAAGAACCCCGGAAGGGGAGUGAAAUAGAAACUGAAACCAAUUGUCUACAAUCGGUGGAAGCGAUGUAUAUGUACGCGCAACCACGUACCUUUUGCAUAAUGAGCCAACGAGUUAUCUUAUACUGCAAGGUUAAGCUUAGAAAGAGCGGAGCCGUAGCGAAAGCGAGUCUGAAUAGGGCGUUUAGUAGUAUGGGAUAGACCCGAAACCUAGUGAGCUAUCCAUGUCCAGGGUGAAGUCUUAGUAAAAUGAGAUGGAGGCCCGAACCGGUGUAGGUUGAAAACUGCUCGGAUGAGGUGUGGAUAGGAGUGAAAGGCUAAUCAAACUGGGAAAUAGCUGGUUCUCCCCGAAAUAUAUUUAGGUAUAGCCUUGUUGGAUUCUCUAUGGAGGUAAAGCACAGUUUAAACUUUGGGGGCGCAAGCUUACCAGGUUUUUGCUAACUCUGAAUACCGUAGUUUUAGAAGACAGGAGACAGACUGUGGGGGAUAAGCUUCAUAGUCGAGAGGGAAACAGCCCAGACCAUCAGUUAAGGUCCCAAAAUAUUCGUUAAGUUGGAAAAGAAGUGGCAAUACACAGACAGCCAGGAGGUUGGCUUAGAAGCAGCCAUCCUUUAAAGAAAGCGUAAUAGCUCACUGGUCAAGUGUUGUUGCGCUUAAAAACGAGCGGGGAUAAACGAAUUACCGAAGCUAUGGCUUGUAUCGAAAUUUAUUUCUGAUGCAGGGGUAGGGGAGCGUUCUCUAGUAGAUACGAGCUUGACCGGAAGGACAGGUGAUGGACUAGAGAAGUGAGUAUGUUGGUAUAAGUAACGAAAAAAUAGGUGAGAUUCCUGUUCGCCGUAAGUCUAAGGUUUCCGUGAGAUCGGUUCAUCCACUCAGGGUUAGUCGAUACCUAAGCCGAGGCCAGUUGGAGUAGGCGAUGGACAACAGGUUAAUAUUCCUGUACCACUUAUAAGCGUUUGAGUGAAGGGGUGACGCAGUAGGGUAGGUUAACUUGGACUUUGGAUUGCCAAGCUAAGCGUAAAGAUGAGCAUUAUAGGAAAAUCCGUAAUGCUGCUAUCAUUGAAACGUUAUGGGCAUGUAUAUUUCUUGUAGAUAUAUGUGUUUGAUUGAUCCCACACUGACCAGAAAAACCUCUAGCGAGCUCUAUGAGUGAUCGUACCGCAAACCGACACAGGUAGACGGGCUGAGAAUGCUCAGGCGUUGAGAUAACCAUCAUUAAGGAACUCGGCAAAAUGACCCCGUAACUUCGGGAGAAGGGGUGCCUGCGAUGUCGUUAAAAAGCAUUGUCAGGUUACAACAAAGAGGCCCAACCGACUGUUUAACAAAAACACAGGGCUCUGCUAACUCGUAAGAGGAUGUAUAGAGUCUGACGCCUGCCCAGUGCUGGAAGGUUAAUAGGAGAGGUUAGCCGCAAGGCGAAGCUUUGAAUUGAAGCCCCAGUAAACGGCGGCCGUAACUAUAACGGUCCUAAGGUAGCGAAGUCCCUUGUCGGGUAAGUUCCGACCUGCAUGAAUGGCGUAACGAGUUGGGCGCUGUCUUAAUGAUGGACUCAGUGAAUUUGUAGUGCCGGUGAAAAUGCCGGCUUCCCGCAACUGGACGGAAAGACCCCGUGCACCUUUACUGCAACUUGACAUUGAUUUUCGGAUUGGUAUGUGUAGGAUAGGUGGGAGGCUUUGAUGUUGAAGCGCUAGCUUCAGCGGAGCCAUCCUUGAAAUACCACCCUUAUCCGUUUGAAGAUCUAACUUCGACCCGUGAUCCGGGCGAAGGACCGUGUCUGGUGGGCAGUUUGACUGGGGUGGUCGCCUCCCAAAUCGUAACGGAGGCAUACAAAGGUUCCCUCAAGACGAAUAGAAAUCGUCGGUAGAGCGUAAAGGCAGAAGGGAGCUUAACUGCGAGACAUACAGGUCGAGCAGAUGCGAAAGCAGGUCUUAGUGAUCCAGUGGUUCCGAAUGGAAGGGCCAUUGCUAAAUGGAUAAAAGGUACGCCGGGGAUAACAGGCUGAUCUCCUCUGAGAGUCCAUAUCGACGAGGAGGUUUGGCACCUCGAUGUCGGCUCAUCGCAUCCUGGGGCUGGAGAAGGUCCCAAGGGUUUGGCUGUUCGCCAAUUAAAGCGGUACGUGAGCUGGGUUCAGAACGUCGCAAGACAGUUCGGUCCUUAUCCGUUGUGGGCGUAGGGUAUUUGAGAGGGCUUGUUCCUAGUACGAGAGGACCGGAAUGAGUUAGCCUCUGGUGUUCCAGUUGUUCACCACGAGCAAGCUGGGUAGCUAAGCUGAUUAGAGAUAACCGCUGAAAGCAUCUAAGUGGGAAACUCGCCUCAAGAUAAGAUACCCCGUAUAACGCAAGUUAUACAUUAAGAUCCCUCGAAGACUACGAGGUUGAUAGGCUGGGUGUGUAAGCACAGUAAUGUGUUCAGCUAACCAGUACUAAUAGAUCGAAUGUUUUAAAUCACA
rnacentral:rRNA from 1 species